rnacentral:rRNA from 1 species
GACGAACGCUGGCGGCGUGCCUAAUACAUGCAAGUCGAACGCAGUGGGGACGGGUGAGCAACACGUGGGUAACCUCCCAUCAGAGGGGAUAACACUUGGAAACAGGUGCUAAACCGAUACUGAUGGAUGGACCCGGGGUGCAUUAGCUAGUGGGUGAGGUAACGGCUCACCAAGGCGACGAGGCAGAACCGGCCUGAGAGGGUGAUCAGCCACACUGGAACUGAGACACGGCCCAGACUCCUACGGGAGGCAGCAGUGGGGAAUCUUCGGCAAUGGACGAAAGUCUGACCGAGAAACGCCGCGUGAGUGAAGAAGGUUUUCGGAUCGUAAAGCUCUGUUAUUAGAGAAGCGGUAUCUAAACAGAAAGCAACGGCUAACUACGUGCCAGCAGCCGCGGUAAUAC